UCGACGAUAAUUCUGCUCUUACAAGACAACAUAAUUCUGCAGCAAACUUUCAUUGAUUUCUAUCAAACCUUUGCUGCCAUCUACCACAGAUUGAAAACUUUCAUCCACAGCCCUAAAACUCCACCAAACCACACCCUCAAACUGCACCCAAAAAAGCCACAAAACAAACCUAAACCACAGCCUACAUCUACCAAUCCACCAACCCUUUCAACCAUCACUUCUCUCAACCUAUACAUGCCUUUAACCCGC
rnacentral:lncRNA from 1 species